CAAUAGCGUAUAUUAAAGUUGUUGCAGUUAAAAAGCUCGUAGUUGAAUUUCUGGUGGGCGCGCCGGUCUUCCAAGUGUUGUACUGGGCGCAGUCCGCCAUCCUUGUGGAGAGGGCUCGCAUUGAGUUGCGUGUCGGAUCUGCAUCAUUUACUGUGAAAAAAUUAGAGUGUUUAAAGCAGGCUGUCGCUUGAAUACAUUAGCAUGGAAUAAUAAGAUAGGACUUCGGUCUAUUUUGUUGGUUACGAACCGAGGUAAUGAUUAAUAGGGAUAGUUGGGGGUAUUCAUAUUUAAUUGUCAGAGGUGAAAUUCUUGGAUUUAUGGAAGAUGAACAACUGCGAANGNAUUUACNAAGGAUGUUUNCAUUA
rnacentral:rRNA from 1 species